UGCAGAGAAGGGAGCAGGCUAGUCACAGCUGGGACCACUGAUUACAGGGCGGUGUGAGGAAGAAAAUGCCGCAGAGAUAAAUGCUUACUGAGGAGGACAGAAAGACUACCUUCACCACAUGAACCUGCCAGAAAUUGAUGCCUCACCAGAAAUCCAAAGUCACCCUCUCCAUCAGUUCUAGCAUUACUGUCAGUCUUGAAAAAGCAAAAUAAGAUCAUGAG